GACUUUUGUGAGACAAAAUUGACAAAAUUGACUUUUGUGAGACAAAAUUGACAAAAUUGAAUUUUGUAAAUUUUGUCUCACAAAAGUCAAUUUUGUC
rnacentral:sRNA from 1 species